AGUGUCAAUAUGUCUCAACUCUCCAUCCAAAUUAGAUAUAAUCAGAUGUGGUAUGAGUGUCAAUAUGUCUCAACUCUCGAUCCAAAUUAGAUAUAAUCAGAUGUGGUAUGAGUGUCAAUAUGUCUCAACUCUCCAUCCAAAUCAUAAAAGAUCACACCGAACAGCUUGGUAGGUUGUAUUCAAAUAUGGUAUUCGAGUGUACAAGAUUGUCAUCCUAGUGGUGCCUUUAAUGUUUUUUUUAAUUUAUUUUAAAUUUUCCAGAAAAAUUGACCAGAAGCAGUAAAAUAAGCUUAAAUUUAUUAAAAAUAUUUCACAUGAAAUUACUUGAAUAAAUUGGAAAAGCAUGAUUUAAUCUGAAAAAUCCAUUUUUUACGACAGAUGUGUUGAGAAACAAAAUAAAGACAACUGCAAAUGCACAGGAAAAAUAGCUUCAAGAAUAAACAUGUUAAGGCAAGUAUACAAGAAGCAUUCUACAGAUGUAUGUUCAACCAUACAUAUAAAUAAGCAUAUACAAGAAGCAUUUUACAGAUGUUUGUUCAACCAUUCAUAUAAACAUGUUAAGGCAAGUAUACAAGAAGCAUUCUACAGAUGUAUGUUCAACCAUACAUAUAAACAUGUUAAGGCAAGUAUACAAGAAGCAUUCUACAGAUGUUUGUUCAACCAUUCAUAUAAACAUGUUAAGGCAGGUAUACAAGAAGCAUUCUACAGAUGUAUGUUCAACCAUUCAUAUAAACAUGUUAAGGCAGGUAUACAAGAAGCAUUCUACAGAUGUAUGUUCAACCAUUCACAUAAACAUGUUAAGGCAGGUAUACAAGACAUUUUACAGAUGUGGCAUUCUACAGAUGUUUGUUCAACCAUACAUAUAAACAUGUUAAGACAGGUAUACAAGAAGCAUUCUACAGUUGUAUGUUCAACCAUGUAAAUAAACAUGUUAAGGCAGGUAUACAAGAAGCAUUCUACAGAUGUUUGUUCAACCAUACAUAUAAACAUGUUAAGGCAGGUAUACAAGAAGCAUUCUACAGAUGUUUGUUCAACCAUUCAUAUAAACAUGUUAAGGCAGGUAUACAAGAAGCAUUUUACAGAUGUAUGUUCAACCAUUCAUAUAAACAUGUUAAAGCAAGUAUACAAGAAGCAUUCUACAGUUGUAUGUUCAACCAUACAAAUAAACAUGUUAAGGCAGGUAUACAAGAAGCAUUCUACGGAAGUAUGUUAAACAAUAACUUUGACCAAAAAAACUUUGUUCUCCCUAGUCUAAAACUGUUGUAUUGUUCAGUCGUGAAAUGGAGUAUUUCUAUACCAUGCCACCAGAAACGGUGCAGUUUAACAACACUUUGAAAAAGUAAGUUAUGUCAUUGAAUAGAUAGCUCUGCGAGUAAAUUUCUAAUGUCCGCGAGUAUCACCUGUCUAGUAGCCAGUAUUUCUUUUAAGGAAUCAAGAUACGGAUAUUGUAUUCUGACAUUGACAGUGUUUUGAAACUAUAUAGUAUUACGAAAUGUAAAGCUGCUCUUAUUUCUGGCUAUACAUAUACUUUUCUUCAUUUUUGGUUUGAUCGGUUAUUGAUAAGUUUCGGAUUUAAUCAGCUCCUCGGUUAUUGAUAAGUUUCGGAUUUAAUCAGCUCCUCGGUUAUUGAUAAGUUUCGGAUUUAAUCAGCUCCUCGGUUAUUGAUAAGUUUCGGAUUUAAUUAUAGUUGGGCCUCGAUCAUCACUAUAGAGAUAUGUGUAAUCGAUAUGCGAAUCUGAUGUUGGGAAUUGGUACCGUUUGUUUUUGCAAUUAUUUCCAUUGUUUAAAAGAGGAACGAAAGAUACCAGAGGGACAGUCAAACUCAUAAAUCGAAAAUAAACUGAAAACGCCAUGGCAAAAAAGGAAAAAGACAAACAGACAAACAAUAGUACACAUGACACAACAUAGAAAACUAAAGAAAAAGCAACACGAACCCAACUAGGGGUGAUCUCAGGUGCCCCGGAAGGGUAGGCAGAUCCUGCUCCACAUGUGCCACCCGUCGUGUUUAACUUUUAUUUAAAUUUAUGAUAUAUAAACGACAUCUAAAAGGUCUUUAAAAUGUAUUCGUUUUUUAAUUAACAGGAACAUAGAUUGAUGCCACAGACAAUGUUAAAAGUCGUGCAAAAACAAGAGAUAGACUGAUGUUAAAAGUCGUGCAAAAACAAAAACAAGAGAUAGACUAGAAACCGAUAUUGACUCAAUAGUAAAGUUAGGGUUGUGAUAUUUAAUGGUUACAGGAAACGGAAUAUCCAAAAAAACAAGAGAUAGAAUAGAAACAGAUAUUGACUCAAUGGAAAAGUAAGGGUUGUGACAUAUAAUGGUUAAAUCGGAAUAUCACUAUAUAACAAUUGUUAUGUCACGAAGCUUAGACAUAACGAUUGAACCAUUCUAAAAAAAUCCAUCUCUAUUCAAGGCAAAGACUCUAUUCCUAAAAAAACAUCUAUCUUUGGCCUUUCAACUGUUGUGAUUGGACCGCAAUUUUGUGAUUGGACCGCCACCUUUUGAUUGGAUCGCCACUGAUUAGUCUUCUGUAGACGAAAUGUGUCUGUCUGUUUGUUCGUUCUUUCAUGAAGCUCACCGAAUAGGAACAAUAGGACAAGUGAGCUGUGCAAAUUUUAUGGUUAUAGGAAACAGAAUAUCCCCAAAACAAGAGAUAAACUAGAAACCGAUAUUGACUCAAUAUUAAAGUUAGGAUUGUGACAUUAAAUGGUUAUAGGAAACGGAAUAUCACAAAACAAGAGAUAGAAUAGAAACAUAAUAUUAUAUGUUACAUGUAUCAUUACUCGUAACGAUCUAGCGCCCUCGUUGGAAAGUUUCUUUGGCUAAUAUCUAGACGUUUUAUACAUUAUGAAUUGUUUAAUGGUUUAAUGUGAGUGUAAAAUCAUGAUCAACUCUGAAAUUUUUAAAAAUAUACAGAGAGGGAAAGAACGUGUUUCGUUUAUCAUGCACUCCAGCAGCACCUGCAUACGGGGUAUAUAUCUCCCAAUUGAUACGAUAUUCCCGUGCUUGCAUUUCCUAUCAUGAUUUUCUUGAUAGAGGGUUGCUGCUCACAAGGAAGAUAUUAAACCAAGAG
rnacentral:lncRNA from 1 species